GCUCUUGCCGUCCGAAUCGGCACCCUUUUGGUGUACAUGCCUGCUAGCCGGGCUAGGCGGCAGAGCGCCU
rnacentral:sRNA from 12 species